GGUCAUCGGUGUGUAAGGACCAUCACUGGGAUGUGAUGAUCGCAUAGCGACCGCCCUAAGUUCCCAACUGCAUCCGCAAGCUGGCUGGUCCCCGCAGGGCGUCCAGGUACACGCUGUGCCAAACUUGCCCGCAGCAACAAGCCAAGGGAAUCGCGUGGGAAAAUGGAAAACAGGCCUGCACGCCUCCGCGGGAAGUUGAUGAUCAGCAGGAACCGAAUCUCCGAAGUCACCCGCAACCCCGCUCAGACUGGCAGUCUAAAAAAGCUCCCCAGCAAAUGGAAGAAUGGAGCCUAUCACCUCGGAUCACCUUUGAAAAUCAUCCGGGUCAUCUGCCCUCUCAGAACAGACUCCUAUUUGGAGAGAAGGGACCUGGAAGUCCUGAGACAUUGCUGGAAACCAUCAAGCUAAAGUAACUCUCAGCCCAGGGAGGAGGCCACAUCCCUACAACAGGGAAUUAGAGAUGCCUGUGUGGCUGGGUGAGACCUGAAGGGCCCCUCAAGCUGCAGGGACAUAAAGAACCCUGAAAUGCCAAAUUUUAGGUAUACAUCUCAGAUGUGCUCACAGAACAGGAACUUUGUGAAGACAAAUGCCCAUGGAGAAAAGAAUGAGACACACAGUUUCCCUGGGCCUGUGUCUUCAACCAAGUCAAGACCAGCAUAGACGCCAUUCCAAAAGUA
ensembl:antisense Gm15418 predicted gene 15418